GACGAGGUGGAGGUGGGUGAGGGAGGGAGGGACAGAGGUAAGAAACAGAUUAAAAGUGUCACUUCCGGCCAGGCGCUGUGGCUCACGCCUGUAAUCCCAACACUUUGGGAGGCCGAGGCGAGUGGAUCACCUGAGGUCAGGAGUUCGCGACCAGCCUGACCCACAUGGUGAAACCCCGUCUCUACUAAAGUUAGCCAGACGUGGUGGCCGGCGCCUGUGAUCUCAGCUACUCGGGAGGCUGAGGCAGGAGAAUCGCUUGUACCCGGGAGGCGAGGUUGCAGUGAGCCGAGAUCGCGCCA
rnacentral:lncRNA from 1 species